GCCAAUGGUAGCAAGUUUAAUCUGUCAUCUGAAUUUUUGAGAAUACAUAGUCCAGCUGUUGAUGGGAAAGUUAGGUCAAUUGGAGGCGAGAAGGUGAUUUUUGGGCGGCGGCAUGUGGGUGUCAUGUCUGCAGAACCUGUAGGAAACUAUGGGGUAAGGAUAGUAUUUGAUGAUUUGCAUAAAACUGGGAUCUAUACAUCAUCUUGGUAGCAAUAAGUUUACCCUGAUGAGAAAUUAUAUCAAAACACUAAGGAAGCAUGGACUCAGCCGGGAA
rnacentral:misc_RNA from 1 species